GCAUCAUUAAUACUCAGAGAACCAUUGAGUUUAAUAUCCACAUUGGAGAUGUGGUGUUUUUUCCUGUUGGAACCCAGCAUUACAUCAAGAACACAUGUGAUGAGGAUUUGCUCUUUGUUCUUGCCUUCAGCACUGGAGAUCAGGUACAAACUCUUGACAUGGAUGAUUACCUCCUGGCCACAUCAGACCAUAUUUUAGCCCAGCUUUUCUUUAGGAAGCAAAGCGAGUUUAAGAAGAUUCCCAAAUUCACAGAGGACCAGGCCAUCAACCUGCCUUAAAUUACUAAUGAGUUCAUAUCUACUGUUAUUUGUCAGUUGUUGGUAAAGAAAGGCCACUGGCUAAGAAAAUGGGGCUUGUUACAAUGAAGUGAGGUAACAGAGGCAAAGCAGCCUUGGGAUCACCCAUGUGGUCAUCUGAGUAUGCAAAGUCUUGCUAAUCAAAAAUUUCACAUUUGGUGUCUAAUGUACCUGAUAAAUUGGCGUCAUUAAUGCAUUUUAAUAUACACUCAUAUACAUAUGUAUAUCUUGUUACUUCCAAUAUAUUGUGUUAACAUUUGUUUUUAUGCAUAUAAGUGACAUUUAACUCUGCAAGUAUUAUUCAUUAUUCAUCACUGUGAGAGUUAAAAAAGAGAUUGGUUUGUAUAUAUACAUUGUGAGGUACUGUAAUCCACAUGCAUUAGACCAUGUCUGAGGAGCUUAGUACCAUGCCAUAAAUUGGAGAUUCUCAAUCCUUUUUGGCAUGAGAUGGUUUUGAUAAUGUCAACAUUUUAAAAAUUCAGUCAUACCCAUAAUUGUGUACUUAUAUUACUAUAGAAGAUAUUUAAUGGCAAAAUGAAUAUGAACUAAUGCCACCUUUGAAUGUAUUUGGAUUUUCUUGGUAACCUCAUUAUCUGUCUGCAUUUGAGAAAGUUCUUCCCAUGUUUGAAAAGCAUCUGAUAGUUUGUUGCUGGGGCUGGCUGUGUCUGAAGAUUCAGGGGUCCCUUAUAAUCUUUCUGAAGCUGGUUGGGACUGGUGCUUUCUUAAGUUAUAUGAAAAUAAUUAGUGUAUAUUUGAUCUGUAAUUUAAUUUUGAUUGCAAUUUAUUGCAACAGGCAUUUGGAAUAAGGACAGUAUGCUAAUCACCACCAUCAGCUCUGAGCUACCCUAUGUAAAACUCUUAAGGAGAUAGAGCUGGCUUUAAUACCCUCUUGUACUCAUUACUCUAAUACAUAAUCUGAUUUCUUUUGAAGGUUGAGAUCAUUUGUUUUUCUCAGUUGCAAAAGAAUCUAUCCUUUCUCUUCUUUCACUGACUGUCUCUCUCUUCAUUAUACUAUCUAGCUCUACUGGUUACUAGUAGAAGAAUAUAGUGAGACUUUUUAUCAAGGGUAUAUAACCACCUACAAAAAGGACUUUAGGAACAUGAUGACAUCUUUUCUCUCUUCUCAGUUGUUUGUUAGUUCAUUUACCCAUAUAAGCUAAGCACUGUGUUAGAUAUUAGAGAGACAUAGUUAAGUUAAUCUCUGCUUUCAAGGAGUACUAAGGCAGACAUGAGGGCAUACAGUACAAGACAUGGCAGCAUUGAUAUGGCAGAUAUUCACUAUGGGAAAUGAUAAAUGUGUGCACAUAAACUAUAUAUGGAUACACAAUUCAUGCAUAAGCAAAACACCAAACCCAGCUCUAGUAACCAUAUGGAGGGUGUUAAGAUUUCCUGGAGUAGCUCAGAGUGAAGAUGAACAGUUAGUCACAGUAUUAAGGAAGAUGGACUAUGUGAGCUGGCAAGUUCUUCUAGAUUGAAGGUUGAAAGAGUCAGUAGUGCCAAACAUGGAAGUGUGAGAAAGCAGUUCACUAUGGGUAGAGGAAAAGGCCAACAACAAGGGGUGAGGUAGAGCAGGGAGGGUCCAGAUGGUGAAGAUGCCAAUAUCCUUUAUAGAUAUGUUACUAUGCUUUUCCUUAUUGCCUUUUCCCAGUAUAGCUAGCCGAGAUCAGAGCUUGGCAGCAAGCAGAGGCUUAAUGGUGUUUAGGAGGAGAAGUAAUGUUGAAAGGACUUAGGGAAUAACACAAAGGAAAUGGCACAGGGAAGAGGAUAUCCAAGUGGAUGGAUUGCUUUAGUCAUCAGUAAUGACUAAAUUACUCUGUGAGGUUGUUUCACGUAAAAACAUCUCUGAACUGUUAACAGUGACUGUCCUUACUGAUGAACUCUGAGGGUCAAAAGGCAGAAAACCGUGUAUGUACAUAGUUGUUAUCUGCAAAUUUUACCUUUGGAUUAAAAAAAUAUUCUAUAA